rnacentral:rRNA from 1 species
ACUCCUACGGGAGGCAGCAGUGGGGAAUCUUAGACAAUGGGCGCAAGCCUGAUCUAGCCAUGCCGCGUGAUCGAUGAAGGCCUUAGGGUUGUAAAGUCUUUCAGAUGGGAAGAUAAUGACGGUACCAUCAGAAGAAGCCCCGGCUAACUCCGUGCCAGCAGCCGCGGUAAUACGGAGGGGCUAGCGUUAUUCGGAAUUACUGGGCGUAAAGCGCACGUAGGCGGAUCAGAAAGUCAGAGGUGAAAUCCCAGGGCUCAACCUUGGAACUGCCUUUGAAACUCCUGGUCUUGAG